rnacentral:tRNA from 1 species
ACCCCCGUACGCUAACGGAUAAACGGCCUCGUUUCUACCGAGGAAAUCAAGGUUCGAUUCCUUGCGGGGGUA